UUGAUCUGCAGAGGGUCAGAGAAGGCAGCAGGGGACAGAGCCCAGGCCAGAUGUAGGGGAAGAGAAGUUUGGAGGAGAGAAGUUCAAGACCUGGGUUGGUCAAGAAAGCUUGAAGGAGGCAGAAACCCCUGAAGAAAGAGGGGUUUGGGCUGCGGGGAGAAGAGGGAAGGCAUUUAAGGCAGGUCACCCGCCAGAGGCCUUCUCCACAAGGCCCUUGGGGAGUCCUCAGGGAUUCUGAGCAAGGGAGGGCUUUGGAAGGUGUCCUGGGACACCUAAGCAGGCUCCAGACUAAUCUUCCCAUCCUGGGCUCAGAUCAAGAAGGGGAACCGGGAAUGUGAGCGGAUCCUGCACGACGUGGAGCUGCUCAGUAGCCUGGCCCUGGCCCGCAGUGCCCAGUUCCUAUACCCAGCAGCCCAGCUGCAGCACCUCUGGAGGCUCCUGCUUCUGAACCAGUUCCAUGAUGUGGUGACUGGAAGCUGCAUCCAGAUGGUGGCAGAGGAAGCCAUGUGCCACUAUGAAGACAUCCGUUCCCAUGGCAAUACACUGCUCAGCGCCGCAGCCGCAGCCCUGUGUGCUGGGGAGCCAGGUCCUGAGGGCCUCCUCAUCGUCAACACGCUGCCCUGGAAGCGGACCGAAGUGAUGGCCCUGCCCAAACCAGGCGGGGCCCACAGCCUA
rnacentral:sRNA from 1 species